UACGGAGGGGGCUAGCGUUGUUCGGAAUUACUGGGCGUAAAGCGCACGUAGGCGGCUUUGUAAGUUAGAGGUGAAAGCCCGGAGCUCAACUCCGGAACUGCCAUUGAAACUGUGAAACUUGAGGACGAGAGAGGUGAGUGGAAUUCCCAGUGUAGAGGUGAAAUUCGUAGAUAUUGGGAAGAACACCGGUGGCGAAGGCGGCUCACUGGCUCGUUUCUGACGCUCAGGCGCGACAGCGUGGGGAUCAAACAGG
rnacentral:rRNA from 1 species